rnacentral:lncRNA from 1 species
UUAUUGUAGGCUUCCUAUUUAAAAAAAAAUUGCCAAGUGGCUCCCAGCAUGUGUAACCGUGAUGAGUGUUUUGGGGGCCCUCAGCUAUUAAAGCAAUGGAAAACAUAAAGGAGAUUCCAUCCUCCUAGGGCAACUUUUCUGAGUCUUGGGAGACCGGCUCACUAUGGAUCCCAGGAUUCUGCUUAUCCUUGAUGCAUAUUCAUGAAUAAUGAAACUGUUCCACAAGACUUACAGUCUGUGUUCUGUCUCACUGGACUCAGGAGUUUGGUAGAGAACUUUUGCAUAUACUAUAUCAGUAAAACAACCCUGGAAGCACAAUGUUAUCUCAAGGGAUCAUAAAUCCCUGGCUCAUUAAGUCAUUCUGAGUUGAUCUCAUGUUCAGCUAAAGUUAGUUUACUAUUUAGAAUUGUGAUAAUCACAAUUAAAAACCUAAGCUUUGUUUCAUAGUCUUGAUAAAUAUACAUCUUUUUCUCUAACCAUGGUUAGAGAAGAUCACAAGAUAAUAGAAGUUUAUUGGAGGCUUAUCAUUACAAAUCUUUAGCUGGAUGUUCUUUCAUAUUAUCUAAUUUAAAAACACCUUUUGGCAAAGAACAGAUACUCUCAUAUGUAAGAUUGUUAGAGUUGAAUUAAGCAUUAAGAAAUCUCAUUCCCAUUUUGCUAAAUGAUGUUUUAGUACAUAGGAAAGUCAAACAUAUUCUGUCACAAAUAUCCAUUAUCAUAUUUGAUGAUUAUCUAUUUGUUUUGUUGCCUGUUGGGUAAUACAAAUAUUUAUAUUAUUUAUCUAACUUUAAAGAUCCAUAAUGGACAACUAUUGUGGUGUUAUAUGGGAAGUUGUCUGGUCAAACGUUUAAAGGUAAUUAAGUUUUUUUGCAUGUGGAAGUUUCCUAUACAGUUAGAUUAUCUGGAUAAAUAGAGUGGAUUAAUCAUAUGAUUAGUUUCUUUCUUUUAAAAAAUGGCAAUCAAAUAAUAGUAAGUCACUGAAAGUUAGAAGCUUAUGAUGAACAAAACUAUUAGAAGGACCUCGUGAACAAUUUAAAUUUAAUAUUGCACUUUGGUAACUGGAUGGUAAAGCAGUGAAUAUUGCAGCUGGUAGUGGAAGAAGUAGCCUAGGUUGGUCUAAAAUAUGCAGCAUCUCUGAAGCAAGAUGUUUUCCCUGCCAAAAGUCAGAGUCUAAACACUGCAAGAUACCAGCUAUCACUGAGGUUAAUAGGAAUAAAACAUGGAACUAAAUUCAUAAUGAUUAACUGAAAUUUUUCAUAGGAGUUUACUCUUUUUCCUCUAAGAUUCACACCUUACAUAUGACAUUCCAACAUUAACCUUUAGGCAGGAUAACUUAGAAUUCAUCCAAAGAACUGUAGAGGUUCCAAGGUGAUAUGAUUGCUAGCACCUGGCCUUCCCUCAUCCCUUCUUAUCAUUUGCUUCUUAUCCUAUACCAGGAAAGCAAAGAAGAACAGAAAACAAGCUCACUCGUACCCAGAGCUGCCAAACAGCACUGGAUUUUCUCAUUCUUACACAGUCCAUGAAUGGAGAGAAAACUUUCUCUUAACAUCUGAUUUAAGUUGUCACUCUGAGAAAUUACCCCAACACUCAGAUAAUACAAGUGAUGGAGGAGAAUGUAGACCAGAGGCAAAAGACAGAGGCAUUCUGAUCUAUAUGCUCAGAGAAUUUUAAGAGUUUUUGCACCUAAAAACAACAAAGGACAAAUUUCCUAGAAAGAAACAAAGAUCCAGAAACUUAGAAAUAAAUUUGCAAAAUAAAAUAAAAAAAUUUUCAGGUACUUUGGAAACCAAUCACAGAAUAUUUUCCAAAUAUCAAAUAAACAUUAGAGAAAUAGGGAAAUACGAAAGAUAAGAGGCAAACCACAUUGAAGUAUUAUGUAAAAUAUCUGAAUAAAAUGAGUUCUAGAGAGAGAGAGAGAGAGAAGUUAAGAAAAUUAACCACCCCUCCUACCACCAAAGGAAGAAGUCUUUUUGAGAGAGCUGCAGUAUAGGAAUCUCCUAAUUGAAAGGGCCAAGUGAGUGCCUGGCAUUCAUUAACUGCUCCCUUGGCACCCGGCACUGCGCUAAGGAGUUUACACAUAAAAUAAAAUCAUUAAUCUUCACAACAACACUUGAGGUGAACGUGAUCAUCACCCAAUUUAUUGUUGAAGGUACUUGGGCCCAGGGAGUUUAUGUGGAUUUCCAAAAACUCCACAGUAAAUAAAAUGGCACAACUGGAUUUGAACACAGCUCAACUAGCUCCAGAGCCUGGGCCCUAUACUAUCUGCCUUUUAUGUAUUUCUAAAUGUGGCAGAAUUUGUACAGAGGCUAGUUUUCACUGCAGUUUUAAUAGUUUGGAAGACAUAGUCUUUUAUUCAGUCAAACUUCAAAGCAAAUAUUAAGGGCAUUGCAUUUGGUGGGACAGAAGAGAAAGAUCAUAUUUUCUUGUCAGCUCAAAAUGAGUGAUGCUGUGAUUCAGUUGAAGUAACAUGGACCUCAUGGUUUCUUCAAAACUCUAGUAAAGAUAUCAAAGAUUGAAGUAAAGGUAGGAGUGUAAAAGGGUAGAGAUGGUGUAUGUGAACUACUACAAGAUGGGCAUGUCACAUGUACACACUCUAGAGUUAUUUAGAGGAUGCUGAGCUGAGAUAGAAAAACACUGUUCUAGAUAGAACAGCUUGCCCUUUCUUUUCAGCCACAUUAAUGAAGACACACAGUAAAUAUUUUUCUGGUUUUAUUUUUGCUGUUUUUUAACAUUUCAAGUAAUAAAUGUUACAGAAAUCAUCUUAUGUAUAAAAGGUGAGGUAGGUAUAGAAGGUGUAAAUUCUGUGUACUAAGACCAAUUGAUGAGUAGGAUUUUAGCUAAAGAGAUAAAAAAAGACAGUCAUGAAUUACUGAGAAAGAUCCAGAAUAUGCAUGCUUUUUGGCAAAAUAUGGAUAUGUAGGUGAAUAAGAUAUAGUUAGAAAGUGCGAAUUUACUUUCCACUUAAGGUCGACAAUGUCCACUUUUGAUUCUUUUGAGGUUUUCAUUUUUCCCAUUCCACUUAGCAGGUCUCUAAGCUAUUGAUUUUCAGUCAUUCUCUAUGAUUUUAAAAAGAUGUUUCUUAAGCUAGAGAGAAGAGAGGCUCAAUUGGUUAGAAAAUAUUGAGACACAUUAAAGAUAUUUUAGUUUGCUCCCCAUAAGUAUAUCCUGUUUAAUUAUUUUUAUUUCUUGCAUUUGCAUAUUCGAUAAUACUGAAUCAUAGUCUAUUCCCAGAGCAAAGAGGAAACAAAAGGAGAAAAUGUGUCUUCUUCUUAUUUUUUGCCUGCCUAGAAUCCUUGACCUCCUUUCCAUUUCUAGAGACUCACUUCACUAUUAUUUUUUUGAUUUAUUUAUUUACCCUAAUUUGUUAUAUACAUGACAGCAGAAUGCAUUUCCAUUCAUAGUACACAUAUAGAGCACAAUUUUUCAUGUUUCUGGUUGUUCACAAAGUAUAGUUACACCAUUUGUGUCCUCAUACAUGUACUUAGGAUAAUGAUCUCCAUCUCAUUCCACUACCUUUUCUACCCCAUGCCCCCUCCAUUUCUCUCCCUCCCCUUUGCCUUAUUUAAGUUCCUCCAUUCCUCCCAUGCUCCCCAACCCCAAGUUCCAUUAUGGAUCAGCACCCACAUACCAGAGAAAACAUUCAGUCUUUAAAAUAAAUAAUCAGUGAGAUGAAUAGAGAGCCUACAGAAUGGAAGCAAAUUUUUACCACAUGCACAUCAGAUAGAGCACUAAUCUCUAGAAUACAUGAAGAACUCAAAAUACUUAACACCAAAAAAAAAAAAAAACACCCAAUCAGUAAAUGGGCCAAGGAACUGAACAGACACUUCUCAGAAGAUAAAAUACAAUCAAUCAACAAAUAUAUGAAAAAAUGUUGAAGAUCACUUCACUAUUAUUUUGAGAAAAACACUCACCCAUUGCCCUAGAAUAUUAUGUAUGGGUACCUCAGAUCACAGUUCAAGCUUAACCAAUUGGAAUCCAUCCCACUAUGUUUGACUACAUUAAACAAGGAGGCAGAUUCUCAGGGAAAAGAAGAGUAGGUAAACAGAGAGAGAAUCCAGAUAGUGAUCAAUUCUUUGAUUUCAUACUUUUCUUCUUCAUAACCUUACCUUUCCCUUACUUUUCCCAUUUCUAUAAAAUUUUUGGUAUGUUUUUUAGUACUUUUGUUAUCUUCUUGUGCAUUCAUAAAAAGAGAGCUACAUAUGCCAAAGGUUUAGACAGUUUGACACUAUCUGACUAUAACCUGGCCUGAAAUUUUAAGUAGCAAUUUAUAUCAUAUAUAUAUAUAUAUGAUAUAAAUAUAUAUAUGAAUUCAUAUAUAUAUAUGAAUUCAGUUCUUCAUGAAUAUAUAAAGUUUUCCCCCUAAAAUUCAAAAGUAAAUGUGGCAUUUUUAGUUAAUUCACUUUAAAAAAGAAAUUAAAAGGCCUAUGUAAUUACUAACUUUAUAAUUUUUUCUUGCAGUAUCUUUGCAUGGUACCUCAGCAUUUACCUGGCCAUGGUUUGCUUUAUUAAAUUUAAAGAAACAAGAAAAGUUACACAUUCUCUAAAAUAAUUAAAAUAGCUAGUUCUGCAAUUCUGGUCUCUGAAUGUUGGCUUCAAAUGUUCCAAAUUACAAAAUUGAUUCACCAAACCUGAGACGAAAUGUCAAAGGUAUAUGACCAAUUAUAUAUGACAUUUCAUUUUGUAGUUAGGGCUAUAAAUUGUUCAUGAUGAAGUCUUGAGAGAGAUGCUUAAAUGUCAAAUACUAGAGUUCUGGGUUCUAUAUUAAUUGCCACUUUUAUAAUGCGCACUUUUUCACAUUUGUUAUCUUUCUGCCAUUUAACUUUAUCUAAGUACAUUUGACUCUUUAAACUUUUUGUUUAAAUUUGGAUAUAGAGCACAGAAUAGUUCAUGCAGUAGAAAUUGAUAAAAAUUAAGAUGAAUACAUUCUUAAUAACACUGACCAUAGUUUAAUGAAAAAAUUGAUUCAAUCUCAUUGUCAAAGAAAAUGUGAGGUUUCAAAAUAUACAAUGAGAAGAAGUAUAGACUUCCAAUUUACAUUUGAAUUGAAGUCUGAAUUUCCAAUUGUGCUUCUGGUUUUAACUAUUUAUCACUAGGAUUGAAAGUUUGGCAUUUCAAAUGAUAGAUAAAAUUUAGUAAAAUUAAUUGCUAUUCAAAAGAUAAAUACCUUGAAUACUUAACAUAUGAUGUACAUCUCACACAGAUUUGUAUGCCUACCUAAGUUUUAGACAAACUUAUGCCAUUCAUUUUUAGAGAAUUCUACUGCCAAGAAUUCCUAAAUAAUGGAUAGGCUAAUAAUGUUCUAGAAUGAAAAAAAUCUCAAUUUUAUAUUUUCACACUGUGAAAAAGUGACAGUAAAUAUUUAGUACAAAGUCAAUCAGAAUCCCAUUUUGAAGGGUGUUAAAAUGUAUGUGAUUUAUAAAUUUAUGUGAAAAGAUGGAGGUGAGAAUAUUUCAAUAAAAACUUUAAAUGGACUUCCAGUAUCAGGGAUUUGUCAUUUAAGAUAAUUAAAGGUAUGAAUCUGCUGUAUUCAAAUUUAUUUUGUCAAAGAAAUAAACAAGAUGAGAAGAUUUAAAUAAUCCCCAAACAUGUGAAAAAUAUGGGAAACUAUCUAUAUUAAAGAGAUAUUUAAAUUUUGUGCUUAAGAUUGUUUUUUGAAUUAAUAAUAUUUUCAUAAUAGGCUUUCCCCUUAGGAAAAAAAAAAAACAAUUUUGCUUUACCAACUACAUAGAAUGUUUUCCAAAGAAAUUAAUGUUCUAAAUAUAAAAAUAAAAAUACAAGAAAUAUUAUCAUCACAGAAUAGUCAUUUGAAAGAAGGCAGAAGAAGAGUUGUUUGAAGCCAACCGAGAACCCAGAAAUCAUAGGGAAAAGAUCGACAGAAGAGACAGCAUAAUCAUUAGAAAUAUUAGCAUACCAAAUGUACUUGUAAGCAAGUAAAAGGCCAAUGAUAGACUGCAACUGAAGGAAGGAAGAGAGAUUUUAAUUCACCACCCUACAUAGAGAUCCUUCAAAUUAAGAAGAAAAUAAUCAACAACAACAAAAACAAAAUCUGUUAAAGAAAACUGUGGAAAAGUAUUACUUUUACGGCACUGAAUAUUUAGGCUUCAAUUUUAUGUAUGAGCAUGUGAAAUUUCUGAUAUUUUAAAAUGUAGAUAAAAUGUUCAUUUUUCUUGAUUUGCAGUUUUCUUAUAGGUCUCAAAUUCUCCUGACUUCCACUUCUUCACUUUUUAUUCUUUUGUUUCCUGUUUUCCUCACCAUCUUUUAUUUCUGUUUUUGGACUGGCACUUCCUUUGUUUCAACAGCUGCACAGAAUGUUAUCAACUGAACUGUACUGAUUCUUGGAUAAUUUCUCAUUUUAAUAAAGAAUAAAUUAUAUUUUUCUUGCAUUAAGCUAUUCGAUCAAUAGCAACUGACAUGACAUACAUACCCACAUAAGUCUCUAUUAUAAUAU